AUGUCGAGCCUCGAGGAGCCACUUGGCCUUGGGGACCUGCCAAAGUUGAGUAUUAAUAGACUUGGAAGGUUCUGCCAAAGUGCCUGCAGAUCAACAGCUGAUGACCGCAGCACCGGCAAUUACACGCCCAGCAACAGUGGCAACAACCAGACGCUCUUUCACAGCACUUCCCACUCAUGGCAUCUGCAAGGCCAGUAUACCGACUCGUCCUGCAAUGGAGCGGAUAUGGAGUUUAGAACUCUUCCACAAAAGGUUUCGUGGGAUCUCCCAAGGUUUGUGAAGGUGGUUGAGGUUGGACCACGAGAUGGUCUGCAGAAUGAGAAGAACAUUGUACCGACAUCAGUAAAGAUUGAGCUGAUACACAAGUUGGUGGCUUCUGGCCUGUCAGUAGUUGAAGCCACAAGUUUUGUUUCCCCAAGAUGGGUGCCGCAGCUAGCUGAUGCAAAGGAUGUCCUUGAAGGUAUCCAGCAUGCGCCAGAUGUGCGGUUUCCUGUGUUAACUCCUAACCUCAGAGGAUUUGAGGCUGCUGUUGCAGCUGGUGCAAAAGAAGUUGCGGUUUUUGCAUCCGCCUCUGAAUCCUUCUCUAAGUCGAACAUCAACUGCACCAUCGAGGAAAGCCUUGCUCGGUACCGUGAUGUUACUUCUGCUGCCAAGAAACAUGGAAUACGUAUCCGCGGGUAUGUUUCAUGUGUGGUGGGCUGCCCCGUGGAAGGCGCUGUGCAUCCAUCAAAGGUAGCAUAUGUUGCCAAGGAACUCUACGACAUGGGUUGCGCGGAGAUUUCACUCGGUGACACGAUUGGUGUCGGUACGCCAGGCAGGGUAGUUCCUAUGCUGGAGGCGGUCAUGGCUGUCGUUCCGGCAGACAAGCUGGCCGUUCACUUCCACGAUACAUAUGGCCAAGCCCUUGCCAACAUCCUAGUCUCUCUCCAGAUGGGGAUCGGCGUAGUGGACUCGUCUGUGUCGGGCCUUGGAGGGUGCCCAUACGCGAAGGGCGCCACGGGCAACGUGGCGACGGAGGACGUGGUGUACAUGCUUCACGGCCUGGGGAUAGAGACCAACGUCGACCUCGGCAAGCUCAUGGACGCUGGCGACUACAUCUGCAAGCACCUGGACCGCCCGUCAGGCUCCAAGACUGCAACAGCUUUGUGCAGGCUAACGGCCUGA
rnacentral:rRNA from 1 species